CAAUUUUUUAGACUCUAAUCAAGUUUGAAACUUUUUAGCCAAGAUUUAUAACUUAUGAGUUUUAAUGUAUUUACAAUUAUGAUUAUAAUUUUUUAGCUUUGCAUUUAUCUUCACGGAGUCACGCUCAUAUCAUCAUUCUCAUCAUCAUCAUCAUUUACUUCUCAUUUUAACAUAUUUUUGUUAAGAUAUUUUUUUCUCUUCAUCUUUUGGCCUCUUUUGUCUUCCACUUUUUUUUCGCCAUAACCAACAACUGCUGUGAAUGUUAACUGAUAGUAUUUAUUUUACCUGUUUCUUUGUGAUCUACGUGCUCAUCUUUAACCAGUGCUAAUUUAAGGAUUUUCAGCUCGUGCUUAGGCUUUUUCUUCAUGUUUUCACCAUUUCUUUCUUUCGUCCUCUCUCGUUAAUGUGUCUCCCUUCAACCCAAAACGCAGUUUCACCUUCAACCCGAGUUGUUAUCAUUGUUAAUUAUAGCUAAACAGUACAUUAAGUCUGUUUAUCACAAGCAACAAUCUCUUCAGUUACUUUCUUCAAGGUGAUGAUGAUUAUGUUGUUGCUAAAAGAAGAUGAUAUUCUUACUCUUUCUACCCUACGGACUCUUGUAAGGAAGUGAGAGGCCAAGUUUUAUUGCAUUCUAUACAUUUGUCUAUGAGUUUGGCUUUUAUUCUUUAACCGUUUUGAUCAAUUGAAUGGGCUCUUAUUGUAAUGGAUUUUUGAUGGCGAUGAUGUGUUGAUAUUUCGCUCCUCAUGAUUAGAUUAUUGAUGCUGAUAUUUGUCCUUUGCAUUCUUCCCUUCUAUUGCCGAUUCCUUAUUUAAUUGGCGAUGUCGGUGAACCUGAAUUUUGUUUCAUUUUUUACUUAAUGGAAAUGAUGAAGAUGAAAAUGAACAGGUUUCCAAGACUUUUCCCUUUCCAAGUCAAUCUCACUUCUUGUACCUGUUAAGUUAUAGCCUUAACAGUGAAACUUUUUGGUUGGAAAAAAAGGAAACUCUAAGAUCAAUCAACUUCAUUCUUGGUGUAAAACAGAAUCCAGUUUGUUGCCAGUGAUAAUGAUUGAAAAAACUACAGAAUCCCGUUGAGAUAAAAAAUAUUAUCGUAUUUCAAAUACCGACUGGAAUAGAGGAAAGUUGGUUAACUAGUAUUUUGAUUCGUUAAACCAUCAAAAAAGUAAAUCAAGAAAUAUCGGUCCAACUCUAAUUUUAAUCAGCUGCUAAUUGUAUUCAUAAACAUUUCGCAUCAAUAAGUUGGAUCAAUUUUCACGCUCAACAAGACAAAGAAGUAGCAAUAAUAGAAUUGUCGUUGAUGGUGACAAUUUUGAGUUAAUUUUAGCAAACUGAUUAGCUGAACCACGUAAUCAGGCGAACAAGGCUCAUGAGAAAUGUAACUGUAAAUGUUAACUGUAAAUACAAAUAGAAAUGGAAAUGUCAUUGAUCUUGAAAAGUGUGCAAACAAUUUUCUAACACAAUGUUAACAGCAAUUAUCCAAUCAUUUUAAUUGUUUAAAUUUCAAUUUUCUCACAGGACAAUGAAAGUGUUACUGGGAAUGAGUCAAUGUUAUAACCGUGAAAAGUGAAACAUCAACAAAACUGUGUUAUAAUGAUGAUAAAGUCUACCAUUGAAAAGACCACACAAUGGACAGUUAACGGAUUUGUGAAUGAAUUUAAAUUAUCCUCCCACAAUUUACUCGGAUAACCACUCUAAUUGUGAUUAAAUGUGCCUAAUUUGAGCCAUAUUCAUUAAAAUAUGGUUUCAACAUUUCAACACUAUUUUUACCCAUCUUCAUAAUCAUCAUAAUCA